GAUGAACGCUGGCGGCGUGCCUAAUACAUGCAAGUCGAGCGAAUGGAUUAAGAGCUUGCUCUUAUGAAGUUAGCGGCGGACGGGUGAGUAACACGUGGGUAACCUGCCCAUAAGACUGGGAUAACUCCGGGAAACCGGGGCUAAUACCGGAUAACAUUUUGAACCGCAUGGUUCGAAAUUGAAAGGCGGCUUCGGCUGUCACUUAUGGAUGGACACGCGUCGCAUUAGCUAGUUGGUGAGGUAACGGCUCACCAAGGCAACGAUGCGUAGCCGACCUGAGAGGGUGAUCGGCCACACUGGGACUGAGACACGGCCCAGACUCCUACGGGAGGCAGCAGUAGGGAAUCUUCCGCAAUGGACGAAAGUCUGACGGAGAAACGCCGCAUGAGUGAUGAAGGCUUUCGGGUCGUAAAACUCUGUUGUUAGGGAAGAACAGGUGCUAGUUGAAUAAGCUGACACCUUGACGGUACCUAACCAGAAAGCCACGGCUAACUACGUGCCAGCAGCCGCCGUAA
rnacentral:rRNA from 1 species